rnacentral:rRNA from 1 species
CCUACGGGUGGCUGCAGUGAGGAAUAUUGGUCAAUGGGCGCGAGCCUGAACCAGCCAAGUCGCGUGAGGGAAGACGGUCCUAUGGAUUGUAAACCUCUUUUGUCAGGGAACAAAGGCGGGGACGUGUCCCCGGAUGAGUGUACCUGAAGAAAAAGCAUCGGCUAACUCCGUGCCAGCAGCCGCGGUAAUACGGAGGAUGCGAGCGUUAUCCGGAUUUAUUGGGUUUAAAGGGUGCGCAGGCGGUCUGUUAAGUCAGCGGUCAAAGCCCGGGGCUCAACCCCGGCCCGCCGUUGAAACUGGCAGUCUCGAGUUGGAGAGAAGUAUGCGGAAUGCGCGGUGUAGCGGUGAAAUGCAUAGAUAUCGCGCAGAACUCCGAUUGCGAAGGCAGCAUGCCGGCUCCACACUGACGCUGAGGCACGAAAGCGUGGGUAUCGAACAGGAUUAGAUACCCGGGUAGUC